rnacentral:rRNA from 1 species
AUUGAACGCUGGCGGCAUGCCUAACACAUGCAAGUCGAACGGGGUAGCAAUACCCAGUGGCGGACGGGUGAGGAAUACAUAGGAAUUUGCCUUUAGGUGGGGGAGUAGCCCGGGGAACGUCGGAGUAAUACCGCAUGAUGUCGAAAGACCAAAGUAGGGGAGUCGCAAGACCUUGCGCCUUUAGAGAAGCCUAUGUCUGAUUAGCUAGUUGGUAGGGUAAUGGCCUACCAAGGCGACGANCAGUAACUAGGUCUGAGAGGACGAUCAGUCACACCGGAACUGAGACACGGUCCGGAC